UGCAACUCGGCUGCAUGAAGCUGGAAUCGCUAGUAAUCGCGAAUCAGAAUGCCGCGGUGAAUACGUUCCCGGGUCUUGUACACACCGCCCGUCACACCAUGGGAGUUGGAAAUGCCCGAAGUCAGUGACCCAACCGGAAGGAGGGAGCUGCCGAAGGCAGGUCUGAUAACUGGGGUGAAGUCGUAACAAGGUAAC
rnacentral:rRNA from 1 species